rnacentral:rRNA from 1 species
ACGGGACGAACACCGAUAUGCUUCGGGGAGCUGUAAGCAAGCUUUGAUCCGGAGAUCUCCGAAUGGGGAAACCCACUGCUCGUAAUGGAGUAGUAUCCAUACUUGAAUACAUAGAGUAUGAGAAGGCAUACCCGGGGAACUGAAACAUCUAAGUACCCGGAGGAAGAGAAAGCAAAUGCGAUUCCCUGAGUAGCGGCGAGCGAAACGGGAACAGCCCAAACCAAGAGGCUUGCCUCUUGGGGUUGUAGGACACUCUAUACGGAGUUACAAAGGAAUGAUAUAAGCGAAGAGGUCUGGAAAGGCCCGCCAAAGAAGGUAACAGCCCUGUAACUGAAAUGUUGUUCUCUCCAGAGUGGAUCCUGAGUACGGCGGAACACGUGAAAUUCCGUCGGAAUCCGGGAGGACCAUCUCCCAAGGC